UGUUUUCUGACAGCUAUGAAAGUCCAUCUAUCCCAUGCACAGCAGCUGACCAGGGACAUGGAAAACCAGCAAAUUCAUGGACCCACAAGACACUCCAGCAAGGCAGGGCAACAAUGAGACGUCUGCAAGAGUUGAUGACCUCAUGCCGGUUCAUGGAUGGAGGCAACACAAGACACACCACAGGUCCAAGUUCAUGUGGUGCCUCAACAGAACGAUGCCUCACUAAUGUGAGAAAUGUUAACAAAACAGGAGAUGAUUCCUGAGCAGCAAAUGUACAUCCUACACCUGCUGAGAGCAAGACAACAAGACAUGACUGAAU